CUGCAAAAAACAAAUUGCCAGAAAGAUAAAAAUUUAAGUGUUCAGUUUUCAACUCUGACUCUGCACCAAAAAUAAAUAUUGUAAUUCUGUAAACUGUAUCUACUAGUGUCCAAAAGCAGACAAAUAUGAUCUAUUCAUUUACCACUCGCACAAAAUCUUAACGUUACCUCGAGCUCCUAUCCAGACGAGUGGUAUAUUUUGGAGUGUUGUUCACAGUAUCGUGACAGUUGUGGGGGGGGGGGGGGCAGUUUGUGUAAAAGAAAUUCAAGGCCUCAAUAAAAAAUAACCUGCUCUGUUCAGCCAGUAGAUGUUAUUGAAUGCAACAAACCUCAUGAAAAUCGGUUCAUUGGGUGCUGACCAAGAUCAUUUCUAUAUUUUUAUAUAUUUUAAAACUCUAUGGUAAUGCUUUCUCUUAAAGGGACACUAACAUUAAAUCCAUUUAGACUGGUAUACCAAACUUCCCUUAUUUAAAUUAUGUGCUGAAACCUUAGUGAUGGUCUGUGCAGCGUCGCGGAUUUCAAUUCAUUUUUUGUUUUACAUUUCAACCAUUUUAGGCAAGAGAUGUUCUUGAUACUUGUUAGGUUAAGUCUUCUUCCUUCAGAAUUCAGUGUAGUCCUUUACUGGUCAACUAUUAACUAUAUCCGCGCAGAUGUUAUCAAAAUUCAUGAUGUCGCAGGUAGCUGGUGCAAGAAUUUUAGGGUGGCACUGCCACCAAUCCUUUCCUCACUACCAUCUAUCUGUCUUGCCAAGAUAAGACAUGGUAAGAGCUGCGGCUUUGCUAUUCCAAAAGCAUAAUUUACUGAUACAUCUUAAUAUUCUUUAUUGCCCUUUAAGUAGCAGCCACUGCACAUAGCCCUGGGAAGACAACAUGCAUUGCUUGGCAGGCAGGCGCAGUGUUUCCAGGUAGUCUUCUUUGCCAUUUAGGAACCUUAAGUUAAUUGCGUCCACUAAGACAGCAUGCCCCAUCAGUCCGCCAUAGACCAGCAGGGCAUCAUACUUGAAUUGCUUAAAUUAAGCAUAUUUGAGCCAUACAACAUUGAGGGAGAAAGAUGUCUGCCAUUGAAGUUCAGCUUCAUGAAGUUCAAGCUGGUAAUGUCAAAAUGAGCGCUUGACAUGUAGAUGUGUGCUAAAUGUAUGUGAUGCAAAUACAAGUGCCACCACUAUGCCUUGUCAAUCUUUGCCAUAUAACUAUGCAGCAACACAGCACUUAGCCAACAAUAACAGCAUUCACAUAACCAGUUUCAAAACCUUCCUAUCUUCCACGCAGUUUUCUUUUUUUCUUAACAUAUGCUGUGGUUAUGAGAAAUUGAUACAUCUAGCCAAGUAGAUGUGCAAUACAAAUGUUACUAGCACUCUGAAAGUGUUCCUUUCACAUUUGUAUGCUUUGUAAGUUUACAAAUCCUUGUGUGCCUAAUAAAAGUGCAAGUACUAUUUUCAGAGUUUGCUUUCUUGAGGUACUGUGACUGGUGAAUAAUAAAAGUGCUUACUUCUGUUUG